GCCCAUGACAGCUGCAGAGGGGCUCACUCCUCCCACGGCACGGCACGGCACGGCACAGCUCCGCCAAGCUCUUGACAGCUUCUUGCCCUCAUCACGUUGGCUUUCCUCUUCCUCCGCUCUUCGCCAUCCUUGCUCGGCGCCUGGGCGACAGGGAACCCACAAGUCAGCUCACCCCGAAAGGCGAGGGGCGAAGCGAGCCGGAGAGGCUGACGCUGUUUUUUGGGGAGGGACAGCAAGGGGCAGGUCUACCUAAGGUAAAGAUCCUCAGUAUAUGACCGACAGUAUUACACCGCCACCUCCAAAACGAGCCCAUCUCCAACCGGGGCGAAUGAAAAUAAAAACCCCCACACGUUAUUGCACGAAGUCUUACUCGUAAAAAUUCCCGUCGCUAAUGAGACUUCUGAUAAAGUGACUUAAAAGAACACGUGUGGCUAAAUAAAUAGGAGGAAGCUGUAGCAUUACCUCUGAGGUCACUCAUCAAGAAAAGGAAUCUGGUUCCACUGGGAAGCCCAGCAAUAAUUUUCCAGUUUAAUAAACCGACUCCUUUUAUAACUCAGGCGAAGCGUGACUCAAGCCGUCUGUCACUGCGCAGAGCUGCUGAGAGGGGAUGGCUGCUCCUUUCCAGACCCUACCAGGCCUUGGGAAAACUCCGACAGCAGUGAGGUGCCGGGCUAAAUACUGCGUGUCAUGGGUUCGUGAGCAACAUGUAGAACGCUGCGUGCAUACGUGUUUCUGCACAUAGAAGUAUACAGCGUGUAUACACACACAUAUAUAUAUUUACAGAUACAUAUACACAUUAUUAAUCUAUUCUACGCACCAAACCAGCAGUCUGUGUUCUGGCAGAUGCUUUGCAAACCGUCUCAGUAUGGGAUGGAAAAGAAAAGAUCCUUUAUACGUGGUAGCUAACGUUAAAAACUUCCAGUGAUACACUACACAACGUUUUCGCUUCUUAUCUCAAACGUCUCUCUGUGAUAAUUUUUAAAUUUCAACAAACUACGUGAAAUAUACUAUCCCCUAUGUUUUUUCCCUGAAAACUUUUCUCUCUUCUGCUUGCCUCGUUUUUAAAUGUUUGCUCACCAAAAAAACCCAACCACCUUCUAAGAGACACUUUUAAAUGCACUAACACCUUUACUUUUCCAGAGUAAACCUUUCACUGCGAAGGGCAGCCCUUCCUCUUGUCGGUGUUUGUCAGAAACACGGGGGAGAGAAUUACAUACUUGGGAAUGUUUUGUGGGUCUCGGUUGCUCAAAAGCAAGAUGUAAAUUUAAUGAGACUUCAAAAGGUCUUUGACUUCCUCGUUCUAAGAUCAUUGUUCUAAAUAAGCCACCUAAAA